rnacentral:sRNA from 1 species
CAUGUAAUUUUUUAUUGUAAUUUUUCCCAGCUUCAGUGUUUCAAGGAUAGGGCUGCUUUAGAACCACAUAAUAAGUCAACUGAGAUGCUACCCUCUAUACCUGUCUCGACAUCUAAAUAUCUGAAACCAAAUUUGACAAACUCAACAUUUGUACAAGAACCUUCUGAUUGUCCAGAGUCUGGGAACAUACCUUUGCUUAACAUUAGGGUAGCAGAAGAGGAUAAUGACAUAUUUGAUGUAAAUAAGCCAUUUAGUGAUUAAGUUAAUCUUUGUUUCAUUUGAUGUACUUUUAAUUUUUUUUUAUUAAGUUAACAUGGAGGCAAUUUCUAUAUUGUUUCAUCAACCUACCAAAAAAAAGUGUCUAUUCUUUAUUAUUCCUCAAAAUUGCACAUAAUGAU